rnacentral:rRNA from 1 species
UACAGAGGUGACAAACGUUGUCCGGAAUUAUUGGGCGUAAAGGGCGCGUAGGUGGUUGAGUAAGUCAGGUGUGAAAGCUCUGGGCUUAACCCAGGAAUUGCAUCUGAUACUGCUCGGCUUGAGUACGGUAGAGGAGGGUGGAAUUCCCAGUGUAGCGGUGAAAUGCGUAGAUAUUGGGAGGAACACCUGUGGCGAAGGCGGCCCCCUGGGCCGGCCCUGACACUGAGACGCGAAGGCGUGGGGAGCGAACGGG